rnacentral:rRNA from 1 species
GUGGGGAAUAUUGCACAAUGGGCGCAAGCCUGAUGCAGCAACGCCGCGUGAGGGAUGACGGCCUUCGGGUUGUAAACCUCUUUUAGUAGGGAAGAAGCGAAAGUGACGGUACCUGCAGAAAAAGCACCGGCUAACUACGUGCCAGCAGCCGCGGUAAUACGUAGGGUGCAAGCGUUGUCCGGAAUUAUUGGGCGUAAAGAGCUCGUAGGCGGCUUGUCGCGUCUGCUGUGAAAACCCGAGGCCCAACCUCGGGCCUGCAGUGGGUACGGGCAGGCUAGAGUGCGGUAGGGGAGAUUGGAAUUCCUGGGGUAGCGGUGGAAUGCGCAGAUAUCAGGAGGAACACCGAUGGCGAAGGCAGAUCUCUGGGCCGUAACUGACGCUGAGGAGCGAAAGCAUGGGGAGCGAACAGGAUUAGAUACCCGGGUAGUCC